rnacentral:RNase_P_RNA from 1 species
GGGGUCCGCCGCUUCGUCGUCGUCCUUGGGGGGAGAGGGGGGGGGGGGAGGAAAGCCCGGGCUCCAUAGGGCGGGGUGCCAGGUAACGCCGGGGGGGAAACCCCACGACCAGUGCAACAGAGAGCAAACCGCCGAUGGCCCACGUAAGUGGGAUCAGGUAAGGGUGAAAGGGUGCGGUAAGAGCGCACCGCGCGGCUGGUAACAGUCCGUGGCACGGUAAACUCCACCCGGAGCAAGGCCAAAUAGGGGUUCAUAAGGUACGGCCCGUACUGAACCCGGGUAGGCUGCUUGAGCCAGUGAGCGAUUGCUGGCCUAGAUGAAUGACUGUCCACGACAGAACCCGGCUUAUCGGUCAGUUUCACUU